GAUGAAGAACGUAGCGAAAUGCGAUAAGUAAUGUGAAUUGCAGAAUUCAGUGAAUCAUCGAAUCUUUGAACGCACCUUGCGCCCUUUGGCCAUUCCGAAGGGCAUGCCUGUUUGAGUAUCAUGAACACCUCAACUCUCAUGGCUCGCCAUGAUGAGCUUGGAUUUGGGGUCUUGCUGGCCUGUGGUCGGCUCCUCUCAAAUGGAUCAGCUUGCCAGUGUUUGGUGGCAUCACAGGUGUGAUAACUAUCUGCGCUUGUGGUUUUCCAUCAGAUAACCUUCAGUGAUGGAGGUUCGCUGGAGCUCAUAAACGUCUCCCCUAAGCGGGGACAGCCCUUUGAAUGUUUGAUCUCAAAUCAGGUAGGACUACCCGCUGAACUUAAGCAUAUCAAUAAGCGGAGGA
rnacentral:misc_RNA from 1 species